UAAAGUAAGUUGUGUGUAUGUGUGUGUGUAUGUGUAUGUGUGUGUGUAUGUGUGUCUGUGUGUGUGCGUGUGUGCAUGUGUGGCCUAUUUUCUGGGGAGGGAUGGUUCGUUCAUUUCAUAAUUUCUCUUUACAAUUCCAUUUUAUUUCUUUCACUUUGAUUAAUAACGGUUGUCUUAAUAACUUUUAAAAUGUCAUUGUGAUAUAUUAGCGUUAAUACAUGUCCACUUGCGCCAGCUGCAGCAGUCUAAGAAGGUCAAAUAAGUAAGCAUGUUUUAAACUCAUCCUUUGUCCACUGUGUUUAUGUGCAUCUAAGGGUAUUUACGAUGUUUCAUAUAGGUUUGUAAUAUAUGCUUGUUGUCUUUAUCAAUUUGUUCGUUGUUACAUUAUAUAUCUAAGACUACAUAUGCAUGCUCUAUUAUAAUAUAUGCAUUACAGGACUUAAUCCCUGUGUGUAUUCUUUAUUCUUUUUACUGAUUCCAGUCAGUUCACAGCAGCCAUACUAGAGCAUCAUCUUCAAGAGUUUUAAUCAAUCAUAUUGACCAAGGAUUUUUCGUCAAAUGGAUAAGUUUAUUGAAUGUAUAAGUUAUGGUUUUUAACCUAAAGGGAUACGAUUGGAGAUGGCUUACACUGGAAAACAUAAAUGCUCACACACACACAAACAAACAAACGAGCAAACACAAACGCAACAGGUUUUGCUCCAAUUUUGCCAAUCUAAUUCAACUUACAAGCUGUUGAUAAACUUCAGUAGAAAGUAAUUCCCCAAGGCGCUGCACUUUGAGAUCGAACACGGAAUCAUGUUGUUAUAAAGCGAAUUUUUUAAACUGCAUUGUCGGACAUAUACUGUUUUUUAUUGAUUUAUUAUGGUUUUAUCAGAGUACCAUUUUAGAGGAUUUCUUAAACAAAUGAGAAGGUAUCCUCCGACCGGAGAGAUGCCCUGAUUGCCUACAAUCAGGAUUCCGUUACUGACAUUCAAAAGCCAGGGAGAGAUGUUAAACUGGGCGAUGGAGUAAGCCUUUGUUUAAAUAGUCUUCUUGGAUCAAUUUUUGAUAAAUAGAAUUCUGUAUCUGCCAUAUAAAAAGAAGACUAUGUAAACAUGUGUACUUAAAAAAAAUUCGUUUUACACGAAUUUUUUAUUUACUGAAGAAUUAAUACUGCAUUAUCUGUCUUAUUAAUACAGAGUGAGGACUGACAGAGACAUCUUACGGGCAAUAUAUCCUACGAUAUUUGGAUCCAUUUACUUUCAAGGUCGACUUUGCUUUACCUCUUUCUGAGAUCAAUAGAGUCUCGUCAACAACUACUGGGUCGCUUUAACAGAUAACAUCUCACCUCCGAAAGACUGACUUUAGAACUGUUAGGUCUUAUAAAUAAGUCUCUGUGCAUCUGUGUGGAUGUGAGUGUGUGUAUGUGUGCUUGCUUGUGUCUUUGUGAAUGUGUGUGUGUGUGUGUGUGUGUGUGUGUGUGUGUGUGUGUGUGUGUGUGUGUGUGUGUGUGUUUGUGUGUGUGUGAUCUCUUCACAAGUGAAUAGUUGAAAACUGAGAGUUAAAACUUCGUCUCGAAAUGUAACUCGAAACGACAAACAAUAAAGAAAGAAAAAAAGAAUGAAGACAAUAUGCAGUUUAAUUUUUGAGUAAACCACCAAAAAGAACAUAAAAGAAACAUACGAAAUAGUUCAUUCAGAUUAAUAUAUCAAUAAGUUAUAUAAAUAUCAACUUCAAUUCGAUUUUAAACAGCAGAAAAGAAACUUUGUAUGAAUCACAUUGUUAUGACAUUAUUACGUCACUGUGACGUAAUAAUUACUUGGAAUUCUCACAGAUUUUAAACAAGUAGGAGACGGUGUUUGAUGCCUUGAGAAGAUCAUCUAAUACAAGUUUAUAUUUGGGACAAUUGACAAUUUCUGGUCCUCAUCAACCAAAAACUGAAUACAAUAAUAGCUUAAAUGUGGAUCGAAAGCAAUCAUAUUGAUAUCAAAUCACAAGUUUUACUUCAUAAGAAGUUACUACUCGCUAAUAUUAUGAACAAAAUGAACCGCAAAUAAGCUUGCAAGCAUGAAAAACCCAGGAAUUAAGGAGUAAUCGCUUUGUUUCGAGAUGUUUUUAUUAUAGUAAACCUCAAAGUUAUUUGAGUGAAACUGCUUUGUAAACAUUAAAAACUGAAUAAAACCAGCUUGUUAUCUCGAUA